UAGUCGAAGAUGUAAAGGGAUAAAAGGGAUGAGAAAAGGAUGCCGAGAGAGUGAAAAGAGACUGCGGAAUGAAAGGGGAAGCAAAAUAACCUUUGAAGACAGAAGAAAUUUGGAGGGAGAAAGUGAGAUACCAAAGAGAAGUUGGUUAGAGAAAGAGAGAUUUGGUUAGAAAAUGGAAAGGCUGUGAAGUCGAUUUAAAGCUGUGGUUUAAUUUAAUCUUAUUUCUUGACUCAUGUUGUUAAUCAGUUGGAUUAAUUUUUCUUUUUUUUAUACCCUGAGUGUCGUCAAUUAAACCAUGUGUAAACCAAUUUGGUGUCCAAGUGGACAUCAUUGUCCUGAGGGUCUGACAUGUAUGCUUAUGUUUGCUAUUUUUUCGGCGGCUCUGGGAAUGUUUCAAUUUGGUUACAAUACUGGUGUAAUUAAUGCUCCUCAAAAGAUCAUUGAGGAGUUCAUUGAUGGUGUAUAUAAAGAUCGCACAGGGAAUUAUUUAUCUCAAGAAUUAAGUGACUUCCUCUGGUCAUUAACUGUUUCCAUUUUUGCUGUUGGCGGUAUGGUUGGGGGUAUAAGUGGAGGUCUGAUUGCUGACUGGUGUGGGAGGAAAUGUGGCCUUCUUCUGAAUAAUGCUAUAGCCAUUUUGGGAGCUACUUUGAUGAGCUCAAGUCAGCUGUUUAAAAGCAUUGAAUGUCUAAUAGCGGGUCGAUUUUUUAUCGGACUUAACUGUGGUAUUGCCACUACUCUGGUUCCAAUGUAUCUUUCAGAGAUUGCACCAAUUUCUUUGCGUGGUGCUUUAGGAACUGUUAGUCAAUUAGCUGUGACAAUUGGUUUAUUGUUAGGUCAGAUUCUGGGUAUUCCUUAUAUUUUGGGUACAAAGGAUGGCUGGCCUUUUCUGUUGGGAAUUGCAAUUAUUCCUGCUGUUCUUCAACUUUUGCUUCUUCCAAUGUGUCCAGAAAGUCCGAGAUAUUUACUGCUCAGUAGGGGUCAAUUACUAGACGCAAAAUUUGCUCUUCAACGCUUACGUUGUUCAACUGAUGUAGAAGAAGAUAUCGAAGAGAUGAGAUCGGAACACAAAUCGCAACAAUCAGAAAAACGGUAUACCAUAUGGCAGGUUAUACGCAAUAAACAAUUCCAAAAACCAAUAACUAUUAGUAUUGUAAUGCAAUUAUCACAACAACUUUCCGGAAUCACAGCUAUUUUUAAUUAUUCAACGGAAAUUUUCAAAAAUACUGGUAUCGAUCAUGAAUCAGCUCAAUUUGCCACAAUUGGUGUGGGGACUGUUAUGGUUAUUAUGACACUUGUUUCAAUACCUUUAAUGGAUCGAGCUGGUCGUAGAACCCUGCAAUUAUGGGGGUUGGGUGGAAUGUUUAUAACCAGUAUAUUUUUUACCAUUUCAUUAUUAGUUCAAUUUAUAUAUCAAGGAAUGGCUUACGCCGCAAUCGUCAGUGCAUUAGCAUUUGUAAUAUUUUUCGCUAUGGGACCAGGAUCUAUCCCAUGGUUGAUCACUGCUGAGCUUUUCUCUCAGGGGCCUCGACCCGCUGCUAUGAGUAUAGCUGUACUAGUCAAUUGGUCUACUAAUUUUGUUGUUGGAAUUGGUUAUCUUUUUAUGCAGCAUCAUCUUGGAGAUUAUACAUUCCUGCCAUUCACUGUUUUCUUGGCUAUUUUUUGGACUUUCACUUACAAAAAAGUUCCCGAAACAAAGAACCGAACAUUUGAAGAAAUUGCCGUUCUCUUUCAACAAGGUAAUUCUGGUCUAGCGGGUGUGGAUAAUAUUGCUGAAAGACCUACAACUUCCAAUGUUUUAGCAGAUGAAAAGCCAAUGGAAGCAUGUGAGUUAACUCACCUUCGACCUGGUUCAGGCCAGUCAAUGUACACAGGCGAACCGACAAUUUACUCAACUCAAUAAUUUAGUUGCUUAAUGCUUGCUUCAUUUUGUUUAUCAGUUCCUUGAAAAUUUAGUGAAUUGAAUGUUUUCCAUUAUCUGUGCUUAUUUAGUUUUUAAAUUCACCAAAAAAAGUCUUCCAUUCCAUUUUUUAUUUUAUUUUAUACGUUCCCUCCUUUUUAAACUAUCCCAAUCAUCUUUCAAUGUCAACCUUUACAAAAUCAUCUACUUAUCUGUGCAAUAUCAAGUUGUGACAUAAAAUUUCCAUUAAUUUUACACGCUUACCAACAUGGACCAGCUCAGGGAACAGACAAUGUACCUGAAUCACCGAAUAAAUAAUGCAAUACAAGAUUGAUUAUCAAUUUGCAAGAAUAGCUCAAUUCGUUCAUUGUAAACCCUGAUAUUUGAUUGUUCCAUGAUGACUGCUCAACUCUAACUUCUCACAAUGAUCAAAUCUUCUCAAUCUUAUUUGUUUUCCCCAUCAUCAUCCUAAUCGCAAUAUGUUUCAUAAUCCAUCAUCCAUUUUCAUUUACAAAGCAUUCAUUGACAAGCCUCUUCACAACGAUUGGUUCGUUUUUUAAUGGUAUUCUAAGUUUCAGCGAUUUUUAUAAUUUACUCGUUACUUAUUUAUUGUGAAUGUAAUUCUGGAAAUGAAAUGAUGUCUGAGCAGCACAAAAUCCAAGAUUAAUUCCAUUGGCUAACUGUUAAUGGUCCAGUUUUUAAACAACAUAUUGAAUCACUUCGCAAAUAACAUCAAUAAUUCAAGCUGUUGACAUCAAAUUUAUCAACAUCAUUUACAAAUAUUUGGAACAUCUUUUUUAUAAUCAACAUCUUCACAAUCAAAUAGGUGCCGAUGAGUUUCCAUCCCUUCCUAUUUCCCCUUGAGUUUCAAGAACAUUCAAUCAAUUGAAACUAGAUUUUCUGCUCAAUUCCUGAUCACACGACAUCCAAUAAGUGAUUAAAUUCCAUCUUGAUUUAAAUAGUUAUCAUCGAAUCUUAUUCCAUUCCUGUUCUUAAAACCAUUACCAGAAAACUCAUAAAAUUGAUUUCAAUUGAUGAAUAGCGUUAACCACCGAAUAUUGAGAUUAGAUUCAUUAAAUGCCUGAUGAAUAGGGUACAUAAGUUACUUCUAAAGUACCGACUACUGACAGGUUCCUGUAAAUACAACCUAUGACUUCAAAGAUAAUGUAUUUAAUCUCGAGAUUUUUUAAACCAGUCAUCAAUAUAACUUUUAAUGCAAAGAUGGAGUUAAAACAAUACUUAAAGAGCUCAUAUCACUUCUAAAAACAAAUUAAUGUAAUUCAUGGUCAACUCUACACGGUGAACAGAAGAAAGAGGACCCAAGUCAACAAUCACAAUCAAACUGUUUAUCCAUAAAAUUAUAUAAAUACCAAGUUAAAGCGAAUAUUGCUGUUAAAUUAUUCAAACAAGACUAAUUAUCUUGACGAAUAGUUUGAUUGAUUGUUACCAGAGAUGAACUUUUAAUACAGAGGAUAAUCUAUCAGUCAAAUGUGGGACUGUUAAAGUUGUGAAAGCAAAUAUGGAGAUGAAGAAGUUGAUCUUCUACCAAGAUGCCAAUUAAUCUUUAAUCAUUAUCUUCGUUACAGUUAAACCAUCCUGAUUAUUGUGCUUCUCAGGCAAAACAAGCUUACAACUAUGCACAACAUAAUCUAAUUUUUGUAUUCCUCAAAAUAUAACAAUUUUUGGAUCAAGAAAAUGGUUCGCCAAGGACUGAUCAAUGGUUUCUAAGCACAUCUUCAAGUUUAAACUAACCAAGAUGAUGAUUUACAUUUAUUUCGUGCUUCCAUCUCGGACAUUUUUGUUUCCAGUCAAACUUCGAACUUACGAAAAGGCGAUUAUAAAGUACAAUGUUUUCAAUGUUCUAAGUCAAAACAAUUGAACAAAAGGUCAAAAUUUCGUUGCUACCAUAUUUAUCUUAAAAACUGUAAACCCUGUUAAAUCGUCGCCUGUGAACUCAGUGACCAAGAGUAAAACAAACUGCUUUGGUUGUUGGAUUGGUCGUAACAUUUCAACACAUUGAAAAUACUCUGUAGUAUUACUUUUAUCAUUUUUGACCAUCUUCCUUUUAAAACUCGCAACUUUCCAACCUUUGCUUGCAAUUCAAAUUUCAAGUCAUGCCAAACACUCACACACACACUCAUACACACACAAAGUUGAAUACAUUCACAAAAAAAAACAUUGCCCGAUCAAUUACAGUUUUUCCCAAUCAAUAAGGAAAAUUGUGCCUUCAACAUAGGUAUCUAUGUCAAAAAAUUCACCCAAAAAAGAUAUUUACCAAGUGACUCUUCCUUUUCUCUGGAUAUUAAUAAACUGGUCAACUUUUUCAAAUUGAAUUGUAAAAACUAAAUAGUCAAACUGUCAAACAAACUAAAUUGAAGAUAGCACAAUAAAAACAAAACUUUUCAAAUCUUUA